UAUAUGUUGGUACAGAUUUGAUGAAGAUUUCGUACCAGAAGAAAAAUAUGCAGGUGCAACAUCUACAUCCUACGGAGUAGACACCAACUGGUACAUGGAUUCAGGUGCUACAGAUAACAUCACCAGCAACUUGGAGAAACUGUCGAUCCAUGAUAGGUACAAGGGCCACGAUAAGAUCCACACGGCGAGUGGGGCAGGAUCAGGCAACGAAGAAAACUCUGCUUAGGGGACGCUGUGAUCGUGGGCUCUAUCCUCUCCCUGCUAGGCGCACAAUAAAGCAAGCCUAUGGAGCUGCAAAAAUUUCUUUUGAUAGAUGGCAUUCUCGUUUAGGUCAUCCGGCUGCUCCAAUUGUGGAGAAAGUUAUCAGCCAAUUUAAUCUUCCUGUUUUAGCAAAUUCAAAUAAACAUUCGGUGUGUGAUGCAUGUCAAAAGGCCAAGAGCCGUCAGUUACCUUUUCCUCAUUCCAGUACUGUUUCCCAGCAUCCUUUAGAAAUUAUUUAUUCUGAUGUGUGGGGUCCUGCGCCCAAAUCA